UGCAACUCUUAAUCUCGCUACUUCCCCCUCCUCUCUUCUCUCUUCUCCCUCUCUCUCCUCUUUUCUCUACCGCUGUCUCUGAGCCUUCUUCUUCCCUUUUCCCUAAAGAAGUUGAUCCAGAAAUUCGAAAAGGCCUGGGCAGAGUUGUUGAAUGGGAUGUGCAAUUAGAGCGGGGAUUUUGUUGGGAGGCAAGAGGGUCCCCCAGGCUCCACAUAGGCCAGGUCGGCGGGCAAGGAAAGACGGCUGACCAGCUCAGCGGGCGCGGUUUGCACAUGGUUUGCACGUCGGGCCGCCUCUUUCUGCCUAUAAUUCGGCUGCCUCUCUGAGGAGUGGCGGAGGAGCUGCGGGAGCUGAGAAGCCCAAGAGCUCUCUGGACCCAGAAAAGUCCCACAGAUGCCCACUCCUCACCACACAACAGAAGGAGCUCUGGUCCUGCCUGCCAGCCCCAGAGGGCACUCAAACUUUGGAGGCCAGCCACCCGGAUGAAGUGAAUAAGGCCUGAAAAUUGCUUGUUUGCUCGUAUUGUAAAAUAAUAAUAAUUACCAUUAUCAUUUUAA
rnacentral:lncRNA from 1 species